AGGAAAUUCGCACCAGUACCGCGCGGCAGGAGCGGGGGACCCACUUACGUGCCGUGCCGCACUUCGCGGCCCGGCUAGGGGUGAAGUCAUGGCCGCUGUGCCCCGGCACAGCGGAAAUGGCCGGGCAACUCCAGCCCGAAUCCGACAGCUCACCUCGCAGGCGCUAGGAGAGGACAC
rnacentral:sRNA from 2 species